rnacentral:rRNA from 1 species
AGUGAACGCUGGCGGUAGGCCUAACACAUGCAAGUCGAACGGCAGCACAGGAGAGCUUGCUCUCUGGGUGGCGAGUGGCGGACGGGUGAGGAAUACAUCGGAAUCUACUUUUUCGUGGGGGAUAACGUAGGGAAACUUACGCUAAUACCGCAUACGACCUACGGGUGAAAGCAGGGGACCUUCGGGCCUUGCGCGAUUGAAUGAGCCGAUGUCGGGUUAGCUAGUUGGCGGGGUAAAGGCCCACCAAGGCGACGAUCCGUAGCUGGUCUGAGAGGAUGAUCAGCCACACUGGAACUGAGACACGGUCCAGACUCCUACGGGAGGCAGCAGUGGGGAAUAUUGGACAAUGGGCGCAAGCCUGAUCCAGCCAUACCGCGUGGGUGAAGAAGGCCUUCGGGUUGUAAAGCCCUUUUGUUGGGAAAGAAAUCCAGCUGGCUAAUACCCGGUUGGGAUGACGGUACCCAAAGAAUAAGCACCGGCUAACUUCGUGCCAGCCGCCGCGGUGU